CAUAAUUCAAAACGUCCCCAUAAAUGGAAUGUAAAGCAUGUGUUGUGUGUGUACUGGAGACUACUGGAGUGUGCAGGAGGUUUUUGUACGGCUGCUUAAUCAGUCUGUAUCACUGUGAUGGACUUUUGGUGGAGGAACCAGACUGGCUGUUGGAAGCGCCCCAGGCUGACGCUGCUUCCCCUCUCCAGUGUGGAGCUGCAGCAGGGGAAGGCCACCCUGGUGUGCCUGGCCACCAAGGGCUUCCCCUGGGACUGGAGGCUGAGCUGGAAGGUGUCCGGGAGCAGCUUGGAGGGGAGCCAGAGCGCUGCUCUCCUGGAGAAGGACGGCCUCUACAGCUGGAGCAGCAGCCUCACCCUCACCCAGGAGCAGUGGAGGAAGCAGCCAGCCGUCACCUGUGAGGCCACCCAGGGCACCCAGCAAGCCGUCACCCAGGACAUCAACACGGGGGACUGUGCCCAGUAGAGCCGCAGAACACACACACACACACACUCACAUGCACGCACACAUGCUUAGACACAGCACACACACGCUUACAGAGAGAUAGAGACAGCACACACACGCUUACACACCGAGAGAGACACAGCCACAAACACACCUUACACAGCGAGAGAGAGAGAGACCAGCACAAACACAUGCUUACACAGAGAGGCACAGCAGCGAACAUACACUGACAAAGUUAGACAGAAAGUGUUUUGCUUUGUUGUUAAAGUUUUGCUCUUCUGAUCUGUGUGAAAAACUGUUGAAAAAUAAAGAAUCU